AGUGAACGCUGGCGGUAGGCCUAACACAUGCAAGUCGAACGGCAGCACAGGAGAGCUUGCUCUCUGGGUGGCGAGUGGCGGACGGGUGAGGAAUACAUCGGAAUCUACUCUGUCGUGGGGGAUAACGUAGGGAAACUUACGCUAAUACCGCAUACGACCUACGGGUGAAAGCAGGGGACCUUCGGGCCUUGCGCGAUUGAAUGAGCCGAUGUCGGAUUAGCUAGUUGGCGGGGUAAAGGCCCACCAAGGCGACGAUCCGUAGCUGGUCUGAGAGGAUGAUCAGCCACACUGGAACUGAGACACGGUCCAGGCUCCUACGGGAGGCAGCAGUGGGGAAUAUUGGACAAUGGGCGCAAGCCUGAUCCAGCCAUACCGCGUGGGUGAAGAAGGCCUUCGGGUUGUAAAGCCCUUUUGUUGGGAAGGAAAUCCAGCUGGCUAAUACCCGGUUGGGAUGACGGUACCCAAAGAAUAAGCACCGGCUAACUUCGUGCCAGCAGCCGCAGUAA
rnacentral:rRNA from 1 species